rnacentral:tRNA from 1 species
GCGCUCGUAGCUCAGUUGGAUAGAGUGUUGCCCUCCGAAGGCAAAGGUCGCAGGUUCGACUCCUGCCGGGCGCACCA